CAGGAAUCAACUGCGGACUACCAA
rnacentral:piRNA from 1 species